rnacentral:tRNA from 1 species
GCCAUGGUGGUUCAGCGGUAGAAUUCUCACCUCCAAUGUGGGAGACCUGGGUUCAAUUCCAGGCCCAUGUA